CAACAGAUCCAGCCUGCACCUCAGCUACUGAGCAAUGGGCAACUUGCCAGUGCCCAUCAGUCUGGGCCAGCAGCCUGUACCCCUGGUCGCCCACAUUCACAGCAGAACGGGUUCAGAGGUCAAGGGCUGCUGGUGAAGGGUCAGGUGAGGCAGCCGCCCCAGGGCCAGGCGGAGCACAAUGGGGAGGCUAGAACACCCACACCCGAGGAGAGAGGCAAGAGAAAACAGCUGCAGGACUUGCCCCCCUCUGAUUAGGCUUAUAACAUCUGGUCUACAAGGUGGGAAAUCAAGUGAAAACCGUUGACUGCCCAUUGCCAUGUGUGUCUGAUUCCCUAACCAAAGUCUUCUUUUGUGACAUUCAACCAAAUAACGUAGGGAUUCUUCAUGCUGUUCAAACAGUUUUUGCUCACAGAAAAAUGUUGACGAGGCACAUGUUAUAAUUGUCCAGGCAUCUGUACAUGGACUGAUUGACUGCACCUCCUUUGAAGUAUUCAACAGCUUGGUACAGAGAAAACCAAUAUUGAGCAAUAGAUGGGUAAAACAAUCUCUGCUUGCUAGUACCACACUUGAUAUGCCAAACUUCAUGGUCACCAAGAUUUGUCGAUAUGGAGAAAUCUGUCAUGAAAUUGAUUACCAAGGAUUUGAGUUUGAAUUCAGGGGAGACACAUGGGUUGAUAUAACCAAAGGUAAAUGUGUCACCAAAGAGUGGGUGUUUAGUUGCAUUGUGGAAGGAAAGAUGGUAUCAUUGAAGGAACAGAAAACCGAUGGGGACAUUGUGUAAGAUAGCGAUGAAUUAUGUGUGAAUAAUGAACCGCUGAAGAAGGUAAUAGUAGCAACAUCAGGGUCAGCUAAUGGGAAAGGCCGGUCACAGAAAGCCCAAGGUUGCAUAUACUGCGAAAAGCUAGAUUACAAGUUACAUACACACCUUGAGUAACAAAACUCCAAUGAAAUUGAAGUAGCUUAGAUUCUCAACAUGCCAAAGAGAUCCAAAGAAAGGAGACGGGCAUGGGCGGUCAUAACUGCCAAGGGUAAUAAUCUGCACAAUACAAAAGUUAAAGAAAAAGGGGUGGGUAUCCUAAUACCUAAGUACAGACAGAGCCUCUACUGAAAAAGCAGGAAUACACAGACAAUUUUACAAAAAGGUUGUUGUAAACAUAAGAGAGGACGAGAUAGGCAACUGUGCCAAAUCUGACAGUCUGAUUUUACAAUUUGGUGAAAGAAGAUUUGAAAAACAUGAAAAUCGGAAAAUUCGUAUUCCCAUAUUUCUUGUCGUAUGCGCUAGUUGGCUAGAAUGGCUAUACCCAUGAAAAAGAAUUACCCGAAUAUAGACAAUUUAACAUAAUGCAUUCAGCCAAUCAUGUGGACCCCCCUUCUUGAAACAAUAAAAAAUGUUGCAGGGUUCGAAAAAAGAACUUGUUCUUAUGCGUCACCAUCUUACGUGGAAAAAAUAUUAAGUAGUUUUAAAAAAAGUUGCCAAAAUGCUUUGCACAAAAGCAUCAGAGGCGGAAGAUUGGGAGCAGGAAGAGAGAAUGUCCCGAUUUAUAAAAUGUUACGAUGACGAAUAUCAUGAAAAAAUUGUCUUUAUGGCUAAAGAAUAAUUGGCGAUUGAAAGGUUUAAUAAGCCAAAACUUCUACCCAUCGUUGAGGAUGUUGUUAAGCUGAACACUUACCUCCGAAAUGAAGCCAGCAUAUUAAGAUCCAGUGCACCAGCUGAUCUCAGUAUGCCAGCUGAUCUCAAAGAGAUUUAUACUUCACUUUGCAGUUUCCUUAGCAAGGGUAAUACUUUUUAACCGAAAGAGAUCCGGAGAGGCGGAAAGACUGAAAACGGAAGAUUUCGUAAAAGGGUCUGUUAAUGACGUUGUGGAUAAAGAUAUAUCACAAACAUUAAGGAAAUUUGAAAGGCAUUUGUGUAAAUAUCAUUAUAGGAUAGAGACGCGGGGAAAAAGUCUCAAACGAGGCAGGCGAGUAUCAAUCCUCUUAACAAAAGAGAUGAAGGAAAACCUGGACACACUUCUUAGAUUGCAGUCUAAGCUUCAAAUAGAGUCUCAGUACAUUUUCAUGAGACCAAGUUGAAGAAAGCCAUACAGAGGCAAUGAUGUACUGAAAGAGGCGACUGAGAAAGCAAAGAUGAAGAAACAACAGUGAGCGAUGAGGAAGCUUCAAGUGAUGAGGAUGUUGAAGAAUCAGAUGACCAGCAUGAUGAAGAAAAUAGAGAAGGUGUUCCUUCAUCUAGCUCAAAACCUGCUGUGUCUGGGUUUCAUCCUCAAUAUGGAUAUCAAGGAGCAGGGUAUGACACGGAUGAUUAUGAUGAUGAUAUGGGUGAUCCAGAUUGGAUUUACAAUAAAAGAAAGCAUGGUAAGUUAUUACAACUUUGUCACAUGUCCUACUUAACAUAGAGGAUCUGUCAUAUUAUUUUGAGUGCAACGACCCUCACAAUUGAUUUAAAUACAAUUCAAUGAGUGCUUUGUACCUGCACAAGAAAUUCCUUUGUUUUACAUUGUAAUUAGCUAACCAGGUGUUUUACAAAUUAUGUGUUGUACUUUAAUUUAAAGCCUGAAGUACCUGGUCAUUUACAAAUAGAAAGCUGGGAUUAUCGCUGUUAAAACAUGUAAUAUUUUAUGCACACAUAAAAGAUUUUAUGUCAUUGUACGACUUCUUAAUUGUUUAAUUGUCUGUUACUAUUAUACAUGUACUUGUUCAAGCCUUAUAUUUAAUUACUUGUGUAUAACCUCAGUGUGGGGUCACAUGGGCUCUUUUGACCAAUCAAAUUCAGUCUUGGUCAUUGUGGCCCUUUUGAUCCUUCCAGACUUUGACGUGGUUAUCCAGUCAGGUCAAAAUUAACAAUUACGCUCUUAAGCGAUACUUUCAAGGAUUGAUUUUAAUACGAUAUGAUGCCGUUUCAUUCUGUUUAUGUGAAGGAUUAUCUCUCGUUGUAAGAAUACUUACACCAAUGGUGUUAUUCCGUGUGAUAUUUUUAAGUUUAAAGGGCCGUUGAACGAGUACACAUGCUUAUUAGUGCCAUGUCAUAACGAAGUCUACCGUGAAAGGUUUCCAAGAUGACGGCGCCCAGAGCGGUAUUAGCGCAUAUCGUCAGUCACUUUUUCAUGAUGCUUUUUACCCGUCAACUCGGGGUCAGCUACGCGUCUUCUACAACAGCCGAGAUGCAGUUGUCGCUGCCCUGUAUCAGUCAUACUGAUUCAGUUCAGAAAAUGGAUCCUACCCCCUGUGUCGCCCGCAAUUGUUCAUACUGACGGUGGCAGACGCGCCAGGGGGAUUUGCGCAGGCUUCCUGUCAGUGUCCCAAGAACCAUGUCCCUGUUGGGAAGAACAGCUGCAAGCCCAAAUGUAAUGAAAGCCAGUUCCUGUGAAAGCAAUGCUCGAAGUGUAUUCCUGGCUGGUGGCAGUGCGACAACAACUGGGGCUGUGAAGAUGGCUCGGACCAGAUAGACGACGUGUCAGUGUGCACAGCAUACCCUUGCUCUCAACCGGGUCUAUUUGAGUGUACCAGUGCCAAGAAUAUGAUUGGUUGUGUCCCGCCCAGCUUUAUUUGCGAUGGAAACCCAGAUUGCGAUGAUGGGUCUGACCAAAAGGAAGUACAACUGCACCACGUUCCCCUGUAUGACGGGCCAGUACAAGUGUGCAGCAGACAACAAGUGUAUCAGCAGUUUCAAGGUGUGUGACAGCAAGCAAGAUUGGAGCAGAUGAACUGAACUGCA